rnacentral:rRNA from 1 species
UUGAGGAGAGCUGUCCCUAGUACGAGAGGACCGGGAUGGACAGACCUCUGGUGUAUCGGUUGUCGCGCCAGCGGCAGGAGCCGAGUAGCUAUGUCUGGAACGGAUAAGAGCUGAAAGCAUCUAAGCACGAAGCCGACUCCAAGAUAAGACUUCUCAUCCGGUUAACGGAGUAAGGCCCCCGGUAGAUUACCGGGUUGAUAGGCAGCAAGUGUAAGGACAGCAAUGUCUUCAGCUAAGCUGUACUAAUCGGCCGAGGGCUUGACCAU